UCACGCCGCGUGAGUGAAGAAGGUUUUCGGAUCGUAAAACUCUGUUGUUAGGGAAGAACAAGUGCCGUUCGAAUAGGGCGGCGCCUUGACGGUACCUAACCAGAAAGCCACGGCUAACUACGUGCCAGCAGCCGCGGUAAUACGUAGGUGGCAAGCGUUGUCCGGAAUUAUUGGGCGUAAAGCGCGCGCAGGUGGUUUCUUAAGUCUGAUGUGAAAGCCCACGGCUCAACCGUGGAGGGUCAUUGGAAACUGGGGAACUUGAGUGCAGAAGAGGAAAGUGGAAUUCCAAGUGUAGCGGUGAAAUGCGUAGAUAUAUGGAGGAACACCAGUGGCGAAGGCGACUUUCUGGUCUGUAACUGACACUGAGGCGCGAAAGCGUGGGGAGCAAACAGGAUUAGAUACCCUGAUAGUCCACGCCGUCAACGAUGAGUGCUAAGUGUUAGAGGGUUUCCGCCCUUUAGUGCUGCAGCUAACGCAAUAAGCACUCCGCCUG
rnacentral:rRNA from 1 species